UACGUAGGGGGCUAGCGUUGUCCGGAAUCAUUGGGCGUAAAGAGCGUGUAGGCGGCCCGGUAAGUCCGCUGUAAAAGUCAAAGGCUCAACCUUUGAAUGUCAGUGGAUACUGCCGGGCUAGAGUCCGGAAGAGGCGAGUGGAACUCCUGGUGUAGCGGUGGAAUGCGCAGAUAUCAGGAAGAACACCAACGGCGAAGGCAGCUCGCUGGGACGAUACUGACGCUGAGACGCGAAAGCGUGGGGAGCGAACAGG
rnacentral:rRNA from 1 species